ACACGGGUCAAGAAGGUUUCUGUCUCAUUUCUACUCUGAAGCUCACCUUCUCCUGCUCAAACUGCUGACAAAUGUUUCUGCUGCUCUAAAGUCUGGUCUCCAGAACUUCCUAAAAACUCUCAAAGUCUCUUCUGCUGCAGGUUGCUUUGUAGAACUGUUGCAGAAAACCUCACUAAACCACAUGGAGGGGCCUCAAGAUAGUCAUCCAAAUGAAACCAUACAAAAACCAAACUAGCACAACCCAAACGCUAAAGUCUCCUGCAGCCUACCAGAGAACCUCUGAGAACAGAGAAUCA
ensembl:lncRNA